CCCUUAGAUGUCCUGGGCCGCACGCGCGCUACACUGACGGAGCCAGCGAGCUUACCCCUUUGCCGAAAGGCAUGGGAAAUCUUUUGAAUCUCCGUCGUGCUGGGGAUAGAUCAUUGCAAUUAUUGAUCUUGAACGAGGAAUUCCUAGUAAGCGCAAGUCAUCAACUUGCGUUGAUUACGUCCCUGCCCUUUGUACACACCGCCCGUCGCUCCUACCGAUUGGGUGUGCUGGUGAAAUGUUCGGAUCGGCCGUUUGUCGCGGUUUCCGCGUCAUGUGGCUGAGAAGUUCAUUAAACCCUCCCACCUAGAGGAAGGAGAAGUCGUAACA
rnacentral:rRNA from 1 species